rnacentral:rRNA from 1 species
UAAAGAUUCAUCGGCUGCGGAUGGCCAUGCGGCGCAUUAGCUAGUCGGCGGGGUAACGGCCCACCGAGGCGACGAUGCGUAGGGGUUCUGAGAGGAAGGUCCCCCACACUGGUACUGAGACACGGACCAGACUCCUACGGGAGGCAGCAGUGAGGAAUAUUGGUCAAUGGCCGGGAGGCUGAACCAGCCAAGUCGCGUGAGGGAAGACGGCCCUACGGGUUGUAAACCUCUUUUGUCAGGGAGCAAGAGGCGGGUCGAGACCUGCUGUGAGAGUACCUGAAGAAAAAGCAUCGGCUAACUCCGUGCCAGCAGCCGCGGUAAUACGGAGGAUGCGAGCGUUAUCCGGAUUUAUUGGGUUUAAAGGGUGCGCAGGCGGAGGCACAAGUCAGCGGUAAAAUCGCGGGGCUCAACCCCGCUCCGCCGUUGAAACUGUGUCCCUUGAGUGCGCGAAGGGUAGGCGGAAUGCGUGGUGUAGCGGUGAAAUGCAUAGAUAUCACGCAGAACUCCGAUCGCGAAGGCAGCCUACCGGCGCGCAACUGACGCUCAUGCACGAAAGCGUGGGUAUCGAACAGGAUUAGAUACCCUGGUAGUCCACGCAGUAAACGAUGAAUGCUAUCUGUCCGGCCGGAAUGACGGCUGGGU